UCCUCUGGCCUGCAUCCCUCCUCCCUUCACCUGCGUCGCUCCCUCAGCCCCAGCAGGCCCCUGUGCUCCACCGCAGACCACCUGGCCAGAGAGAGAUCCCCAGAGAGGAGCCUGGGGUUCAAGGACCUCUACGACUGAACAGAUCUCCCUCUGGAGGAAAGACAACCCAACCUUCUCUCUAGUCCUCACUGUGCUAUGAUGUCAUUCUUCAACUCAAACCCUGUGAUGUCAUGAUCAGGACCUCAGGUUCAGAACAACCCUCCUAGACCGGAAAUAGUUUCAACAAGUGUUAUCUCAAAUGUAUUUUUUAUUAAAUUUUACAAAUGAACUGACAUCACUGUGUUUGGUUGUGUGUAUUGAUCUGUAAAAUGAGUGACCAUUCAGUAUAUUUUUGAUGAAGAUUUGAUUKAAAUGAAAUACAGCUAAAAGAGGGAAAUUAUGUUCUUUCAUUAAUGUAUUACAUUUUUUGUAAAUCGUCUGAGAAAAGUGCUUUAAUAAAAAUAAAAAUAAA